CCCAGAGGUAUUGAUUGGUGAAUGUUUCAUGGUACGCCUUGCGUACUUCAUCACUUACACCGACCUGCGCAGAUGCGCAGGUUUUUUUU
rnacentral:sRNA from 2 species